CCUACGGGUGGCAGCAGUGAGGAAUAUUGGUCAAUGGCCGGAAGGCUGAACCAGCCAAGCCGCGUGAAGGACGAAGGUGCCAAGCAUUGUAAACUUCUUUUGUCAAGGGACAAAAUCAGGCUCGAGAGCCUGACCGAGGGUACUUGAAGAAAAAGCAUCGGCUAACUCCGUGCCAGCAGCCGCGGUAAUACGGAGGAUGCGAGCGUUAUCCGGAUUUAUUGGGGUUAAGGGGUGCGUAGGCGGGCUGUUAAGUCAGCGGUAAAAGCCCGGGGCUAAACCCCGGCGAGCCGUGGAAACUGGGGGUCUUGAGAUGUCGAGAGGUAUGCGGAAUGCGCAGUGUAGCGGUGAAAUGCUUAGAUAUUGCGCAGAACUCCGAUUGCGAAGGCAGCAUACCGGCGGCGAUCUGACGCUGAGGCACGAAAGCGUGGGUAUCGAACAGGAUUAGAUACCCGAGUAGUC
rnacentral:rRNA from 1 species